ensembl:lncRNA
CUCCCCGCGAGGCCGAAGAGCUUCACCUUCUCGGCCCUUGCCGCCCCCAAAGUUAAGGCCGCCCCGGGGCCGGGCUACGGUGCAGGCUCGCCGCCUCAGCCGGCCCCGAGCGCUGUCCGUCCGUUGGAAGCCCUGAGGAGCUCGGAAGUUUUUCAUUUGGGGCGGGGAAAGGUCUUGAACUUGCUCAGAGUUGUGGGGUGAAGCCACAGCUUUCUGGAGGCAUUUGGGGAACGUGAAGAACGUCAGAGACAAAUUGGUGCUGGCAGUUACUGUGUUGUGGUUUUUCACCUGCGGUCAGCCCUCAGAUGUGGAAGCUAAGGCCUUGGAAAGGAGAGCCUGGCUCAGGGUCACAGAGCCAGUGAGGAGGAGACAUGAGACUCAAAUCCAGAGAGGAGCAACCCCACCUCCAAGGAGCGA